rnacentral:tRNA from 1 species
GGUGGUAUAGCUCAGUAGUAGAGUACAUGCUUAGCAUGCAUGGGUUCAAUCCCCAGUACUUCCA